GGGGAUGAUCGGUUUCGACGAUGCCAGUUGCGGCAGGUGAAGCGGGCCGAGAAUGCAGGGUCAUCUCGUAAACGUUCUCUGCAAAACAAUAAGUGCCAAAUCUGAAAAGCGCACUGACUUCGCUCUCGCUGCGUAAGCAGCCAGAGCAGUCUGCUAGCCCGGGUUCGCUUUCGACCCGGUUCCUAGUAUCAGUUUAGAAAGCCACUGCUCCAGUCCCUCUCCGUAGGGGGCUGGUGAACAUUUUGUACGGAUAGGUUCGGCGGCAACCCGUUCGUGGGAGUGCCGGAGCCGAGAACACCGUGACACGAACUGCGCCCGGAGAAACCCUGGCAAAGCUGCAUCGGACCGGGGUUCGAUUCCCCGCAUCUCCACUC
rnacentral:tmRNA from 1 species